AUGGGUCCCUGACACUUGGCGAAGUAGGAGCCCUGUGUGAUCGUGCGUCUGAGUCUGGGCUGAGACCAGUCCUGGCCAGGGCAGUUACCAGGACGGUCUCCGGAGGCCGGGAUUCGCGGAGGGUCCACCAGCAGGAAGAAACCCCAAGAGGAAGAAACCUCAGACAGAUCGCCGGCGAGGCAGCGCGGGAUCCCAGCCUCAGGCGUGCGCGGACGGUGUGCGGCGCACACAACCAAGCUUAGGAGCCGACUGUUAAGAUGCCCCAGUGACACGGACAAGUUUCUCCUCUGCAACCCAAUGAGAGCUGCUGACCACGAGAGCAUCGCGGGACCGCCAAAGGAUUCUGGAAAAUGUGGUCCCGGGUGGCCAGUGUGCGCUGACCUUCACCUGAAGGUACGGCUUGAAGGAAACUUCUGGAGGGUGGGGUGGUGUUGAAGAGAAGGCACAAUUGUCACCAUUUUGUUCAACAUGGGCGUUUUCUUUGUGCAUUGAUUUGCAUUUUUAAAGGGAGUCAAUAAAUACAGGAAACAGCCCCUUGGGAGGGAGAUAAGG
rnacentral:lncRNA from 1 species